CCUACGGGGGGCAGCAGUAGGGAAUCUUCCACAAUGGGCGAAAGCCUGAUGGAGCAACGCCGCGUGGGUGAAGAAGGUCUUCGGAUCGUAAAACCCUGUUGUUAGAGAAGAAAGUGCGUGAGAGUAACUGUUCACGUUUCGACGGUAUCUAAACAGAAAGCCACGGCUAACUACGUGCCAGCAGCCGCGGUAAGACGUAGGUGGCAAGCGUUAUCCGGAUUUAUUGGGAGUAAAGGGAACGCAGGCGGUCUUGUAAGUCUGAUGUGAAAGCCUGCGGCUUAACCGGAGUAGUGCAUUGGAGACUGGGAGACGUGAGUGCAGAAGAGGAGAGUGGAACUCCAUGUGUAGCGGUGAAAUGCGUAGAUAUAUGGAAGAACACCAGUGGAGAAAGCGGCUCUCUGGUCUGUAACUGACGCUGAGGUUCGAAAGCGUGGGUAGCAAACAGGAUUAGAUACCCGAGUAGUC
rnacentral:rRNA from 1 species